GACGAACGCUGGCGGCGUGCCUAAUACAUGCAAGUCGAGCGGACUUUCCGGAGUUCUUGCACUUCGGAAGGUUAGCGGCGGGCGGGUGAGUAACACGUAAGCAACCUUCCCAUAAGAGCUGGAUAACAGUCGGAAAGGCAUACUCAUACCGGAUAGACGUACUUCUUGCAGGGGGGGGGCGGGUAAGGCCGGGCAGGCUGCCACUUGUGGAUGGUCCUGCGGCGGGUUAGGUAGUUGGUUGGGUAACCGUCUACCAAGGGGACGAUUGGGAGGCGACCUGGGUGAGUGAUCGCCCCCACUGGGACUGAGACACGGCCCAGACUCCUACGGGAGGCAGCAGUAGGGAACCUUCCGCAGUAGACGGGAGUCUGACGGAGCGACGCCGCGUGAGUUGCGAAGGCCUUCGGGUCGUAAAGCUCUGUUGCCAGUGAAGAACGGGCAGGGGCGUAACUGCACUUGCCAUGACGGUACCUGAGAAGAAAGCCCCGGCUAACUACGUG
rnacentral:rRNA from 1 species